CUGCAUGCUGGUAUUCCAUGCACAAGGCCAGGAGGUUACCUCUAGCCCGGAAAGGCUCCUGUCCCUAAUGAUGAAAUGAUAUAUACUGUGUAUGUGUAUAUAUAAACCAGUAAAAUUGUAAUUGUGUACUUUUAGAAUCAACCUUUCUACUCGGUAUGGUAUUGUAUAUACUAGUAUUGGUUGAAUGACGGUGUUUGGACACAUGCCAUUCUCUGGGCCUUAAUGUUAGUUCCAUGACUCUAAACAAACAUUCUCUCACCACAGCAUCAGGCAUUUAUGACUCUGGCUCCUCAACAAGCUACACAUUAAACCAGAGAGGGAGAGAGAGAGAGAACUUUCUCAUGCUCUAUGUUCCCCAGCUACCUUACUGUUAUUCUUUUUAUGGCCCCAGCAUUGUAAAGGCAGAUAUUCCUGACCUUGGGAGUUGGACUUUGCCAUGUGACAUUCUCAAAACACUUGGUACUAUAGAAGUCAAACAGAACAGCAGGUUGCUGAUCAUCAUCGUCAAAAUACCUCAAAUAUCUUCCAGAAGGAUGAUGGACAAUCAAAGGUUGAAGUUGAUGAGUUCCCCCAGCCUCAGUGACCUGGGGAAGAGUGACAAGGCAGCGUUGGAGGAGAGAGGGACACAGCAGAGAAAAGCUGGGGCUAACGCCACCUGGAACAGGUACUGUAGUCGAGACUCUGUGUGUGUGUGUGUGUGUCACCCUGCUUUGUGUCAGUCCGUGAACAGGAGGUACUGUAGUCUAGACUCUGUGUGUGUG
rnacentral:lncRNA from 13 species